AGCAUGUGGUUUAAUUCGAAGCAACGCGAAGAACCUUACCAGGCCUUGACAUGCAGAGAACUUUCCAGAGAUGGAUUGGUGCCUUCGGGAACUCUGACACAGGUGCUGCAUGGCUGUCGUCAGCUCGUGUCGUGAGAUGGUUGGGUUAACGUCCCGUAACGAGCGCAACCCUUGUCCUUAGUUACCAGCACGUUAUGGUGGGCACUCUAAGGAGACUGCCGGUGACAAACCGGAGGAAGGUGGGGAUGACGUCAAGUCAUCAUGGCCCUUACGGCCUGGGCUACACACGUGCUACAAUGGUCGGUACAAAGGGUUGCCAAGCCGCGAGGUGGAGCUAAUCCCAUAAAACCGAUCGUAGUCCGGAUCGCAGUCUGCAACUCGACUGCGUGAAGUCGGAAUCGCUAGUAAUCGUGAAUCAGAAUGUCACGGUGAAUACGUUCCCGGGCCUU
rnacentral:rRNA from 1 species